CGCCAUGCCAGAGCUGGGUGUGAGUCAGCUGGACCUAGCCAGGCUUAACGGUCCAACCCUCUGCUCUAAAGCAGUGUGUUAUUGUUUCACUCCCUCCCUGUCACUUACUCACUGGCUGCUUUUACAGAAGUAUGCACUUCCACACUCCAUGUCAUGGAUUUAAAAGCAUAGGAUUGGUGUAAGCAUUGCCUGGAGGGAGGUUUGAAGAAUUGGUGUAAGCAUUGCCUGGAGGGAGGUUUGAAUAAUUGGUGUAAGCAUUACCUGGAGGGAGGUUUGAAUAAUUGGUGUAAGCAUUGGCUGGAGGGAGGUUUGAAUAAUUGGUGUAAGCAUUGCCUGGAGGGAGGUUUGAAGAAUUGGUGUAAGCAUUGGCUGGAGGGAGGUUUGAAGAAUUGGUGUAAGCAUUGCCUGGAGGGAGGUUUGAAUAAUUGGUGUAAGCAUUGGCUGGAGGGAGGUUUGAAGAAUUGGUGUAAGCAUUGGCUGGAGGGAGGUUUGAAUAAUUGGUGUAAGCAUUGCCUGGAGGGAGGUUUGAAGAAUUGGUGUAAGCAUUGCCUGGAGGGAGGUUUGAAGGAUUGGUGUAAGCAUUGCCUGGAGGGAGGUUCGAAUAAUUGGUGUAAGCAUUAGCUGGAGGGAGGUUUGAAUAAUUGGUGUAAGCAUUGGCUGGAGGGAGGUUUGAAGAAUUGGUGUAAGCAUUGGCUGGAGGGAGGUUUGAAGAAUUGGUGUAAGCAUUGGCUGGAGGGAGGUCUGAAGAAUUGGUGUAAGCAUUGGCUGGAGGGAGUUUCCGCAGUUGUUAAAUCCAUACUUUGGGAGAAGGCUGGAGAAUCACGACACAACCAACCUCUAUUGCUCCCUCUUCUUUCUCCCACUCCUCUCUCUCACCCUCUGGUGCUCCCCCUCCCUACAGUAUGGAAGUCCACCUUUUUCUCUUUAGAAUGGGAAUUAUUUGAUAAGAUUCAGAGAGACCGCAGGGGGUAGGGUGAUGGGGAAUGAAGAGCUUGAUCCCAUGAUUCCUCUGGCAGAUAUUACCAUCUGCCCAAAGUGCCCUGAGCUCACAGAGCGUGUGUCCCAAAUAGCACCCUGUUCCAUAUAUGGUGCUCUACAGGUCUACAGGCCCUGGUCAAAAGUAGUGCACUACCAUAGGGAAAAGGCAUUUGAGAUGCAGACUCGGCCUGAGCUCACAGAGACACAAACCACUAAGCUACAUUUACCUACUAAGCUUUAUCACUCCUCCUCCUAUCUGUCCCCUGCCCCGACCCCUCUC